AUUGACGCUGGCGGCAUGCUUUUACACAUGCAAGUCGGACGGCAGCACAGAGAAGCUUGCUUCUUGGGUGGCGAGUGGCGAACGGGUGAGUAAUAUAUCGGAACGUACCGAGUAAUGGGGGAUAACUAAUACAGAAAGAUUAGCUAAUACCGCAUAUUCUCUGAGGAGGAAAGCAGGGGACCGUUCGGGCCUUGCGUUAUUCGAGCGGCCGAUAUCUGAUUAGCUAGUUGGUGGGGUAAAGGCCUACCAAGGCGACGAUCAGUAGCGGGUCUGAGAGGAUGAUCCGCCACACUGGGACUGAGACACGGCCCAGACUCCUACGGGAGGCAGCAGUGGGGAAUUUUGGACAAUGGGCGCAAGCCUGAUCCAGCCAUGCCGCGUGUCUGAAGAAGGCCUUCGGGUUGUAAAGGACUUUUGUCCGGGAAGAAAAGGCUGUUGCUAAUACCGACAGCAGAUGACGUGAC
rnacentral:rRNA from 1 species